GACGAACGCUGGCGGCGUGCUUAACACAUGCAAGUCGAACGCACCUUCGGGUGAGUGGCGGACGGGUGAGUAACGCGUAGGUAAUCUACUCUUCAGUGGGGGAUACCCAGCCGAAAGGUUGGUUAAUACCGCAUACGCUCCUGUGCAGAGAGGUACAGGAGGAAAGGUUUACUGCUGAGGAAUGAGCCUGCGUCCGAUUAGCUAGUUGGUGGGGUAAAGGCUCACCAAGGCGACGAUCGGUAGCUGGUCUGAGAGGACGAUCAACCACACUGGAACUGAGACACGGUCCAGACUCCUACGGGAGGCAGCAGUGGGGAAUUUCCGCAAUGGGCGAAAGCCUGACGGAGCAACGCCGCGUGGGUGAUGAAGUUUUUCGGAACGUAAACCCUUCGCCAGGGACGAAGCGAGUGACGGUACCUGGAGAAGAAGCAUCGGCUAACUACGUGCCAGCAGCCG
rnacentral:rRNA from 1 species